rnacentral:rRNA from 1 species
UACGUAGGGGGGCGAGCGUUUGUCCGGAUUUAUUGGGCGUAAAGAGCGUGUAGGCGGCCAGGUAGGUCUGCUGUGAAAACUCGAGGCUCAACCUCGAGACGUCGGCGGAAACCAUCUGGCUAGAGUCCGGAAGAGGAGAGUGGAAUUCCUGGUGUAGCGGUGAAAUGCGCAGAUAUCAGGAAGAACACCCGUGGCGAAGGCGGCUCUCUGGGACGGUACUGACGCUGAGACGCGAAAAGCGUGGGGAGCGAACAGG